GCCCCAUUAGGAAGAUUUCCCAUAAUUGAUAGGAAGUUCCGUAUGACAAUCUAAACGCAGCACCAAACAAAAAACUUGUUCUUUGUGGCGUUGUAUGUGUGAUUUGGAACGGGUCUAUGAGGGUU
rnacentral:snoRNA from 1 species